rnacentral:lncRNA from 1 species
UUUAAGUUGGUCAUGGUGAUUCCAUUCCCCUUGCCGACCAUUGGCUUACAAAAGAGCCCGGUAACAAUUACAGCCAAUGAGAUAUGAAGGAAAGGUUUUUGAGAAGUGUGGAGAGGCUUGGGAAAGCGUUCUUGUUUUACAAAGAAAUGUCACUCUCACUACGAUCUUCACAUUUUGUUGUGUGAAGAUGUUAUGCUUACAGCUGUUGCCGCCGUCUUUUAUCCACAAGGUGACGAACUAGAGGACCGGCUGACACCCUGAGGAUGGCAGAAGAGAAUUUUGUAGAGAGUCUGGUCCUUGGUGAUAUUGUUGAGCUACUAAAUUAACCAACCCUGAACCUGCCAUCCCUCAGACUGUUCCUCCUUUGAGAAAAUAAUACUCUUUAUUGUUUAAGCCAAUUUGGGUGAAGUCCUUUGCUACUUACGGCCAAAAAAACUAAACGUGAGAAUCCAGCUCUGGUCAGAAGAUUGCCCAGUGUGCAAGGACUCCAAGUGAGCUCCCUUGGAAGCAGGUGACAACCUGGGCAAGAGGUCCUUCAGAUGCAUCAUCCCAACCCUUGAACAGGAAGCCAGAGGCACAAAGAAGCAGAAGCAGGAGAGAAACCAUUUGGUGUGUGUGGUAGCAAUAGCACCAACAUCCAGCUUCCAUGGGGAUAGCAAGAGGUCCUCACCGACCUGGGUCUAUGCUCCUGCCUUGUCUCUGAGCCUAGUGUUCUUGAAGAGUUAAUGAGCUACCUUGUAUCUUUUGAA